CAAAGGGUGACUUCUCGUCGUGGUUCUCGUCUAAAUUGUCCGUUGCUGCCAAUUUGUAUGAGAGAAUGAGAGCUCUGUCUACUCGCUAUGCUGCCGCCGUGGAGCAGCUUUGAUAUGAGCCAAUUUGGACGCAGCGAAAAGGUUUUUUUUUUCCUUAUUGGAGUUAUUUGCUUCAGCUUAGAUUCUUACUUGAUUGACUUUCAGAUUUGAGGUGCACUGGUGAUCGAAUAGGAGAAGGAGACGAGCGUCAAGUUUGGGCGGAUUUGAAGGAUUCGACUCUCUCAGGGUUGAGUUUCUGCGUGUGUAGUGGCUGUUAAUUCUUCAGUUGCAAGGGGUGAAGAAAGGGUCGAGUACAGAGGAUGGAGUUAUGUCUGUGAAGUGUGUGUCUGAGAGUUAUAAUUGGGCUUGAAUUCGGUGCAGAGUGUUAAUUUUGUAUGUGCAAGUUCGAUGUGUUGGAGCUUGGAAGCUCAAUAGGGCAAGGCUGUGGACACCGUAAACCAGCAUCCAGCUCGCCAAAUUUGGGGCUAUGGCGCUGGUCAUGAAUUCUCAUCGCUUGGAGCACACGUUAAGCGCAUUGAUGAUUCAAUUACGGAGACCAUACUGUGCGCGGAGAACGUCUUUGGAGAAUGUGUUCGUUCCCUCGGCAGUGAAUCUUUCCAGCUUGGAAGUUCCGUUCUAAGGUUCUGGGGUCGAGAAUAACUUCAGUAUGCCAGAUGUCUACGCCUCUGCUACGCCUAAGUGAUGGAGUGCGCUUGUUUGCUUACAGAAUUAUACAUUUCUCAGCUGCUGCUUAUGGUGUGGUACGUCUGAGCCUUACCAACCGAUUUAGAAUAUGUGCUCUAGGUAUGAGAUCCCUGGUACAAUUAUGACUGGUUGAUUGAUUAUCGAUCUUUUCGGGGAAUUAUGAUCUCUUUAUCCGUAGCGUGUGAGACUUGCAUUUAAGUGAUUAUGAACGCCUCGGGCUUUUAGAACCAGGGGCUACAAUUUUUCGUACUUGUCUUUCUUUUUGAGCUGUCUUCAAAGCGCAGCGGGAGGAGAAGAGAAACUUGCAAUGCAACUUGCAAGUGUGUUGUGAAUAUUAGCAAUAUUUUCUGGCGGUAUUUAAAAUAGCAUGUCCCUAAAAUGCACGUAUUUGAGGCUAUUAUGUUCUGAAUAUGUCAAGCUAUGGAGGUUAGCUAUUGACUCCUGUUCUGCUAUCUUUCCAGAAAGUUCAUUAACGCGGUGAGUGUUGGUAAAAGCUCCUAAAUUAUAUGGCUGGGUCUAUGCUGAACGAGUUUAAGUUUCGGGGACCUUGCAAAAAAUCUUGGUGCAAUGGCUUCAUACUCAGCGUACUGAUGGGCGGCUUACUUGGCCUAGGUGGCUUGAGGGUAGGAACUCUGCGAUUGUUUUCCUGUCAUAUUAAACAGUUCCGCUAAAUUUUUUUGAGCUUCAAUAUAGUGGGUCUUGUGUGUAGACGAACUUACUUUUUGUUCCGAAUUUGAAAGUGCUAAGGCGUGGUCUUUGCUAGAGAGAUGUCUUUUGAAUCUGAUGGCUGGAUUUGUAUGCUAGGGAAAAUUGUUUCCGUUCAUUUUUAUUUAUAUUUUUGUUCGCGAAGACAAUUGCGACUGAGCAGGUUGUGCUGAUCAUCGAUUGUCACCAGUGUAGGUCAUCACUGCGUGCUAGUUAAACAGGUGAUAGAAUCCAUCACGCCGCUUUUGGUUAGUUAUAAUCUUAAGUACGAUGGCGAUAGAGGUAGAUUCCAUAACUAAGUCAGCAGAAAUAUGCAUUAAACUUGCAAGGUUAUAUAUGCUUAUUCUCGUUUAGAAAAGUGGUAGGUCAUAAAUACUUUCCAAUCUACAAUAGAAACAGAAGCUAAGCAUUAUAAGCUAUCAGUUAUCACGAUGGGAUCAAUGUUCUAAGUUGUGUGAGGAAGCUACCAUGUUUCAUAUUUCGUAAUUGGGAUUGUGAGCGACGUUGGCAUUCUAAGUGCUGACAGUGUGGAUGAUUGGUUUGAUAGUUAGAAAUUCCAUUUCUCUGCUACGGGAGUUGUAGUUGCCUUCCAUUUCUCUGCUACGAGAGUGGUGGUUUUUAGCAACUGGAUGGAGAAGAAAAGCUGCACAAGAACUUCCAUCUUUACAGGGCAGCCCUUUGUCUUACUGAUUCAUCACAGUCCCUGCUCUAGAAUCUUUCAUUUUUUUGCGAUUUGUUCUGUUGCCUGCUUUGCUUGGCAGGCAAAAAAUAUUUGCAGCCCAUGCUUCAAGUCAUCUUGCUCUUUUCAAGAGCCUGAGUUGUGGAUUGAAGGCACAAAUAAUUCCAACCAGUUCUUGCUCUUCUUCUUUGAAUAUUUCAUAGAGGUUGAGUCAAUCUAACCCUGUAUAGCCCAUUGUUAAAAUAUACUUCAUGCCGGCCUUUAACACCAUCUAUGCAGUUCGAUACUUCGUUAAGACUCUAUGCAGGUUAAUCAACUGGGAAAUGUAGGAGAUGAAUCACAUAUGCUAUCAACGGUAGUGGCUAUUGAAGAGGCGAUUGUUUCUCUUUGCUUUUAGAUUUACUGUUCAGGAAAAGGAUUUUAGCUGUAUGGUGCGGAUAACUAACAUUGAAGCUGUUGUAAUGUAUCUGUAGACAAGCCAGUUGAAGUCUUUAUUGUAAUUGAUCACUCUGAACUUGCACUUGCUCAAAAGUGGUUAUUAUAACCCUAUUAAUUGGUUGCUUACCUAAAUUCCAUCA